UCUUUCAAGGAGGCAGCGGGGAUUCGACUUCCCCUGGGGGUAGGGUUA
rnacentral:tRNA from 1 species